rnacentral:rRNA from 1 species
UCGCCAUUAGAUGAACCCGCGUCUGAUUAGCUUGUUGGUGAGGUAACGGCUCACCAAGGCGACGAUCAGUAGCUGGUCUGAGAGGAUGAUCAGCCACACUGGGACUGAGACACGGCCCAG